UACAUGCAAGUCGAGCGGACAGAUGGGAGCUUGCUCCCUGAUGUUAGCGGCGGACGGGUGAGUAACACGUGGGUAACCUGCCUGUAAGACUGGGAUAACUCCGGGAAACCGGGGCUAAUACCGGAUGGUUGUUUGAACCGCAUGGUUCAAACAUAAAAGGUGGCUUCGGCUACCACUUACAGAUGGACCCGCGGCGCAUUAGCUAGUUGGUGAGGUAACGGCUCACCAAGGCGACGAUGCGUAGCCGACCUGAGAGGGUGAUCGGCCACACUGGGACUGAGACACGGCCCAGACUCCUACGGGAGGCAGCAGUAGGGAAUCUUCCGCAAUGGACGAAAGUCUGACGGAGCAACGCCGCGUGAGUGAUGAAGGUUUUCGGAUCGUAAAGCUCUGUUGUUAGGGAAGAACAAGUACCGUUCGAAUAGGGCGGUACCUUGACGGUACCUAACCAGAAAGCCACGGCUAACUACGUGCCAGCAGCCGCGGUAAUACGUAGGUGGCAAGCGUUGUCCGGAAUUAUUGGGCGUAAAGGGCUCGCAGGCGGUUUCUUAAGUCUGAUGUGAAAGCCCCCGGCUCAACCGGGGAGGGUCAUUGGAAACUGGGGAACUUGAGUGCAGAAGAGGAGAGUGGAAUUCCACGUGUAGCGGUGAAAUGCGUAGAGAUGUGGAGGAACACCAGUGGCGAAGGCGACUCUCUGGUCUGUAACUGACGCUGAGGAGCGAAAGCGUGGGGAGCGAACAGGAUUAGAUACCCUGGUAGUCCACGCCGUAAACGAUGAGUGCUAAGUGUUAGGGGGUUUCCGCCCCUUAGUGCUGCAGCUAACGCAUUAAGCACUCCGCC
rnacentral:rRNA from 1 species